rnacentral:rRNA from 1 species
ACGAACGCUGGCGGCGUGCUUAACACAUGCAAGUCGAGCGGAAAGGCCCUUCGGGGUACUCGAGCGGCGAACGGGUGAGUAACACGUGAGUAACCUGCCCUAGGCUUUGGGAUAACCCUCGGAAACGGGGGCUAAUACCGAAUAUGACUGCUGGUCGCAUGACUGGUGGUGGAAAGUUUUUCGGCCUGGGAUGGACUCGCGGCCUAUCAGCUUGUUGGUGGGGUAAUGGCCUACCAAGGCGACGACGGGUAGCCG